GUGCUCACUUUGGUAGAACAGACACUAAAAUUGGAGCAGUACGCAGAUUAGAAUGGUCCCUGCACAAGGUGACGUGAAGUUUGUGAAGCAUUCCAUUUUUAU
rnacentral:snRNA from 1 species